ACUUCCUGUUGUGUGGCCCAGACAGGGCACUGUCUGUGGCCCCAGGGGUUGAGGACCCCUGGCUUUAACAACAGAAAGGUACCAUCUUACAGUUCUGGAGGCCAAAGUCUGAUAUCCAGGUGUCUGCAGGGUUGAUCCCUUCUGAGGCUACCCCAGUUACUGGAUUGGGAUCCACCCUCACUCAAUAUGGCCUCAGCUUAAUGAAAGACAUCUGCAGAGACCCUAUUUCUACUAAAAGCCACAUUCUGAGACUUCUCGUGGGCGUGAGUUUUUGAGAGACACUGUUCUGCUCCAUGCAGGGAGGGAAUUGGGAUCUGAAGACGUUGCAUUCGAGGUCUCGGGGCUCCUGAUGAGCAGCCUCGGCCUGACCUGGGGCAGGUGUGAUGUCUGCGGCUCACCAUCUCCACCCUGCCUGCUGUGGAAUCUCCACAACGACAGGUGCUUUGGAGGCCAGAGUGCAUGCGUACGGGCCCUGCACACGCUGAAUGUCACUGGGAACAAGGACACACCCCGCUUCCAGGAGAAGAUAGAACAUGUCGACCCCUUUUAGCCAUCCCCAGUGCAGGACAUGCUAUUGACUUCCAUGAGACAAACACCUACUUGGAAAUCAGGUUUUUUCUGUACCUUUUGAAGGAGCAGGAAUUUCCCAGCAUUUCCUGGACAAAGACGGAGGCCACAUUCGCUGCAUCCUUUCCAGCAAGAUGUCAUUCUGAGAUUUUUGUCAUUCCUGGGCGUUAUGAGGACUGCCAAGGGACACAAUUCCAUGGGAGGAAAGUUUUCUUCUAAGCUGCAAGCCAGCUCUGGCUUCUGGAGUUUCUCCUUAGGAUUGCAAGACAGUAGUUCCCUGUCCUUUAGGUCUUCUCCAGAAAUACCUUAAAAUAGCAAAUAAAAUAAGAUAUAAGCAAACAAAA
ensembl:lncRNA SCAT1 S-phase cancer associated transcript 1